CACUAUCUCACUCAAUGGGUAAAGACAAAAUAAUAUACUGAAAAUAGAAGAAAGAGAAAAAAAUCUGAAAGAAAAAGGUAAUACUUAAGUAGGGAUUAGCCUUUAAUUCUUCUAUCAACUUCAGAGAGGUGUUCGCCGUGAGCUCUAUUAUUGUUUUUUUUUUUUUUGAUCGAAGACAAACUAAUUCCUAGCCUUUCACAUAUUUCAGCUUAAGAUCACCAACAUAACUAGCUUCCAUAAGCCAUUUUGCUGUCUCAUGUAGUCGUUCAUUUUCUCCUUCCAUAGGUGCCAGAAGGUCGAAGGUCCAAAGACAGAGGGGAUCAACGAUAAGAGACUUUUCCUCCAAACUUGUUGCACUUUGUCACAGAGAAAGAGGCCCUUGUUGAUUGAUUCUAUUUCUCCACCACAUCUUUUGUAGGUUGGAUUGACACUCGGUAUGCGGCGGUGAACAAUGUCCAAGACGGGGAGCUUUUCAUGGAGGCAUUUCCAGACAAAUAUCUUGACUUUUGGUAGCAGGGACAACUUCUAGAGUGUGCACCAAGUUUUAUGAUGUUGUAGCAGACUUGGAUAGAGAUCAAUUGGGGGGGUGUUGAAACUGGAUGAGGUCCUUCACCUAUACGAUUUUGGGCUCUGAUGGUCAGUUUCCAACUCGUGGGGAGGAGGAGGUCCAAACGGGUAUAGUGAAGGCAACCAUGGAUCAUGAAAAACUCUGGCCACUAAACAAGUUUCAAUGCUCUAUACCAAGCCUUUCUCUAGCACAGUGCGUUCCACCAAGAUGCCCCACCAACCCCAUGACGAUAACGUUCCUACCUCAGCACUUAUUAUAUUACCGUACCUAAAAUACUUGCCUUUUAGUAUUUUAGACAGUAAAGUAUUUGGUUGACUUGUGACUUUCCAACACUGCAUAGCAAGUAACGCUAGGUUUUGAGCUCUAAGAACUUUAAAGCCCAAACCCCCUUCUCUUUUCGGUCGUGUCAUCGUCUCCCAACUUAUUCACACCAUCUUCUUCUGUGCCCCUUUUGACCCCACCAAAAUUGUUGAAGAACUCCAUGGAUCUCUUUUAAGAGAGUGCCUGUAAGUC